GGUAGUAUUCCGCGGCUGGCGGCUCCUAGAGCUACGGCAGAGAGGGCGGGAGACCGGGCUUCCUUGAGCGCUUAUUGGGUGCCGGCGGUACUGGGCCUGCGCCUGGCGUCCUCUUUCUUGAGGGUCGCCCCAUCCCAACGACAGAGGGGAAACUGAGGUGCCCAGCAGAACUAAGACUGAGCCAUUCACUGAUGAGUCUACAGAAGAGUCAGUACACAGUAGGCUCUUUAUAAGAUAUAAUGAAUAAACAGUAAGAUGGCAAGGCUGUCUCUGCUGCUGAAGGACCAGGCUGAGGACGUGAGCUGGGUUUGGUGUAGAGAGGCAGAAGGAAGCAAGGCUCUGGACUAGCUGAUGGCUCUGAACAGCUCCUGUUCUCAGACCCGCCCAUCACUGCCCAGAGCUCCUGGUCUCAGACCCGCCCAUCACUGGCCAGAGCUCCUGUUCUCAGACCCGCCCAUCACUGCCCAGAGCUCCUGUUCUCAGACCCGCCCAUCACUGUGCUCACAGCUCCUGCCCCAUGAGCCCCCUGAACCACGGCUGGCAGUGUGCAGGCUGGAAGGAAACAGAUUCUUCCCCCAAGCCAGUCCAGUGGCUGUGGUUUUGGCCUCAGGUGGCCAAGAGCUCACUAGUGGUCUAGGCUUGGAAGAGGUAGGUUCAAAACUCCAGAGCUGGGACUGGCAGGGACAUAUAUGACUGAGGGGAGGAUGUGGCAAGAGGUGAACAGCAUACCACAGAAAUGAGUUGGUCCCCACUAUUUCAAAUCUAGCCUUGCCUACUGGUGGACUAACCUAACCUCUGUGACUCACUUUUCCUCAUCUGAAACAUGGGUUCACCAGCAAACAGACCUCAUAGAAUUGGGAACCCAUCAAGUAAUGGGCACAGGGGAAGGACUGCUGCCCGCGCACCGCUUACCUUACUAACAGGGGUAGGUUUAGAGAAGACUCAGACCACCACCUUUGGAUUUGCGGCCAGUGACUUCACCUCUCUGAGGCUCAGCUUUCUCAGCUUCAUGGUGUGUGUGUGUGGGGGGGGGUCUCAUGUUUCCCACUGCUGGAGACAAGAAAGGCAGUGACUAGCAGGAGCCCAGAUGGCUCUGUUACCUCACUGGUGGUAACAAUAAUAGACAGGAAAUUUCAGAAGUGGCAGGCUAGUAGAGCGCUCACUUGCCUAGCAUGCGAGAGGAUCAGGUUUCAUCCCCAGGACCACAUAAAGAGAACACAGCAGUACACGCCUGCAGUCCCCGUAUUUGGGAGGUAGAGGCAGAAGAAUCAGGAACUCAAGGGUCUUCCUUAGCUACAUGUUCAGUUUGAAGCCAGCCUGGGCUGUGUGAGGCCCUGCCUAGCGUUUAUCAUGACUUUGUUACUAAGCACUGCAUACUCCCAAGCUCAGCCUCUAUUGGACAGAUGGGGACACUAGGGUAAGAACAGGGCCAUGCCAAAGUCACCUGAGAGAGUGUCACAAUGCAAUAGUUGCUUUGAACCCGAGAUUCUAUUUUGUUUUUGUUGUUUUAUUUCUUUUUGGCUUUUUGAAACAGGGUCUCUCAGUGUAGCCCUGGCUGAUCUGAAACUCACUCUGUAGACCAGGCUGGCCUCGAACUCACAGAGAUCUGCCUGCCUCUGCCUCCUGGGUGUUGGAACUAAAGACAUGAGCCACCACCGCCUGGCUGAGAUUCUGCUUUUCUUAUGAGCUCCCAGGAGGGUUGAUAAUGUGGGAAACACAUUUUGUGCAGUCAGGGGGAAAGGCAGCUACUGAAGGUGGCAGAGGCUGCAGGUGUCUUGCUUGCGGUUGAGCCACAGGGGCAGCUGGGAGCCUGCACUUGUAGCCAGGAGCCUGCUUUACCCCGGCCCUUACUUUCUCUCCCUGACAAGCAGGCAGGGUGUCUCACUCCCCUCUGCCCACCCAUUUCCUCUCUCUGAGCCCCUUCUUUCUCCGCGGUGACAUCUGGCCCAGGGCCUCCCAAUGGGACUGGCUGGAGGUUCUCAGAUUUUCAUUAACAAGAAAGAUAAGUAAGGGCUACUGGGGCCCAGCUGGGCCUGCUGUGGGCCAGCCUGGCCCUGUGCCCACUUCCCCAGAAUGCCAGAGGCACUGGGACAAGAUGUGGCUUGCUGGGGUUGGGCCUAGAGAGGCCUUGGAGGAGAGGCCCUGCAGCAGGGCCUUCCUGCACAGCCAGCAAUUAGGAGGCUGAGCAGUCAGCUGCUUCCCAGGAACUCCCAGGAGAAGCUUAGGCCUAAAAACAAAGUGAAACUUAGUUGCCUACAGGGAGUUUCCUGGCCAGGGAGAGGAGAACCGCCGGUGAAUUCUACGGAAUGAGGCUAGGUGAAACACACAGAAUUUCCCCUUCUUCUCCAGAGAGCACAGGCCUCACUGGCUGCUGAAGAGCCAGCUUCACUGGUUUCUCUGUGGUAGGUUCUGCCCCUUACAGGCAGAGAGAAUGCGUGCUGGCCAGUCCUGGGCAGCUGACGCUCCUGAACUCCAGGUUGUUUUCUAAGCAUUUAUGCCUCAGUUCCUUUUGUCUUAUGAGUCAGAUGUUGCUUUCUCAUUUUUGAUAGUAACACACUGUUCCUUUUUAAGGGGUCUAUUUAAGGGAAAAUCACUGGAUGUUAAAAUGUGUCAGUUACUUUUCUGCUUGCUCAAGUGCUGAGAUGACAGGCUUGUAGGACAGGACCCAGUUUCUGUGGAGGAGACAUGGCAUGAGUGGAAGCAGAAUUCUGUGCAUGUUAGGCAGGCCCCUGCUGACCGGCUGUGUUGCUGACACAGUCAGCCUUUGCCCUGCGUUUGUCCUCCACAGCCCAGGCGCAUAACUGGGUGACGGGAGAAAGGCAGCUUGCUUAGCAGCCUAGUGCACAUCUACUGUCUGUCAGGAGACUCGAGGCCAGGAGGAUUGAGAAUUUUGGACUAUCCUGAGCUAUGUAAUAAGACUUUGUCAAAAGGAAAAGAGGAGGGAAGAACAGAAGGAAGGAGGGAAGGGAAGGAAAGAAGGUUUGGGAAAGAAAGAAAGGGAAGAAGAUUUGCUUAUCCUUGGACAAUUGUCCGGUCACAGUGGAGAUGGAUCCCUGGGUGUCGUGGAUGGCUGUCCUCCAAGCACAACAGACGUUGCCAUCUUUAUCAGAGCAGUUGCUACUAUCUACAAGAGAUCUUCAAGAAGUGGCCUAUGACCUUUUACAGAUGGAAGGAAUGGGAAGAGUCAUCUGAGAUCCCAGCCACUCUGUCCCGCUCCUCUGUUCCAGGAGUAAGCACCUCUGCCCCAGCUAUUCCUGAUCUUCUAGAGGAUAGAGAGGUUCUCGAUCUGUGUGGGUGGUGACUCCUUUGGGGUGGGGUCGAAUGACCCUUUCACAGGGGUCACCUACGACCAUCCUGCCUAUCAGAUAUUUACAUUAUGAAUCACAACAGUAGCAAAAUUUACAGUUAUGAAGUAGCAAGGAAAAUAAUUUUACGGUUGCGCAUCACCACAGUAUGAGGAACUGUACUAAAGGGCUGCACAUUGGGAAGGCUGAGAACCACUGCUCUGGUAUGCAGAGAAGAUGGAAGGUUGUCUGAAAGGAGAUCCCAGCUGGACAGCCACAGGAAAGCCAGCAUCUGUGCUGGCCUGAGACUUCUGCAAUGAGAGAUGGAGAGCGCCAGCGCCCCUGUAAGCCAGCCCUCGGCCAUGCUUCCAUCAGAAAACUGAAUAAACUCACUGGUUUACCAA